rnacentral:rRNA from 1 species
CCCUUAGAUGUCCUGGGCCGCACGCGCGCUACACUGAGUGUCUGAGAUACGAGUCUGCCUAGCCGGCGAGGUCUAGGUAAUCGCUGAAAGACACAUCAUCCUUGGGAUAGAUUAUUGCAGAUAUUAAUCUUGAACGAGGAAUUCCUAGUAAGCGCAAGUCAACAGCUUGCGUUGAUUACGUCCCUGCCCUUUGUGCACACCGCCCGUCGCUACUACUGAUUGGAUGUUUAAGCGAGGUUCUCGAACUGCUAGCGACUUAGCUUCGGUGAGGUCGCCGUGUGGGAAGUGAACCUAGCUUUGGUGUCUAGAGGAAGUAAAAGUCGUAACA